rnacentral:rRNA from 1 species
GAUGAACGCUGGCGGCGUGCCUAAUACAUGCAAGUCGAGCGAACAGACGAGGAGCUUGCUCCUCUGACGUUAGCGGCGGACGGGUGAGUAACACGUGGAUAACCUACCUAUAAGACUGGGAUAACUUCGGGAAACCGGAGCUAAUACCGGAUAAUAUAUUGAACCGCAUGGUUCAAUAGUGAAAGACGGUUUUGCUGUCACUUAUAGAUGGAUCCGCGCCGCAUUAGCUAGUUGGUAAGGUAACGGCUUACCAAGGCAACGAUGCGUAGCCGACCUGAGGGGGUGAUCGGCCACCCUGGAACUGAGACACGGUCCAGACUCCUACGGGAGGCAGCAGUAGGGAAUCUUCCGCAAUGGGCGAAAGCCUGACGGAGCAACGCCGCGUGAGUGAUGAAGGUCUUCGGAUCGUAAAACUCUGUUAUUAGGGAAGAACAAAUGUGUAAGUAACUAUGCACGUCUUGACGGUACCUAAUCAGAAAGCCACGGCUAACUACGUG